CGAAGACGUCAUCGGCCUCGGAGCGGGAUCCGCUGGCUGCCUGCUGGCUCCGACCCCAGUCCGGCCGUCCGGCCUGCGCCUGGCGUGUCCCUGGGGAUCCGGCCUGCGCCGCUCUCGGGGCCCAGAGGCGAGGUGGCGGGAGCACUGCCAGCCAAGGGCUGACCUCAAGGAUCCAAGCGGCGGCGUGCCCGCAGCCUCUCCUCCCCCUUCCCUGCACCCCUCCCCGCGCUCCCCUCCGCCACAGCCCCGAUCGGAAAGGGGCUUCCUGCGCUUUUGCAUACACGUGUGCCCCUUUCGCUCAUUGCCUCGUCACCACCAGGCACGGACAGGCUCCCCAGGAGAAGCGAUUUACUUGACCAAUGUCACAAUGCUGGGGGUAGGGGUACAGAGAAGAACUGAAAUGAGGGUUGGAGAAAAAUUAACAAGUCUGUCGGUGGAAAUGUCGUUCCUACUAAGGAUAACCGGGCAAGCAGUUUUUAUAUCAUCAUCCACCGUGUGUUUCGGGGUCUGGCAUCAGAACCUGGGGAGAAGAUCACCACAGGUCACUGGUAACAUUACCAACCCCCAUGUGAAGAGACAGAGGAACCGAGGCCAGAGAAGUUAACUAACCCCUCCAAAGGCACACAGCAAGUAAGUGUCACGGCUGGGUGCCUCAUACUCUUUCUCUCUGUUUUCUAAGUCCUUUGUCCUUAUCUUUCCCCAGCACACAAUGGGUGUGUCAAGAAGGUGAUGUGUUACACUAUUUCACUGUUUAUUUCUGGGGUUGAUGACUUUUAGGGGGCUGAUUCUAGGUUCCAGAGGAAAGGGAAGAGAAAAUAGGCCCCAAACUUGGGCUUUCUGCCUGACGCUCCCUGACUCACUGAGCCACAUUGCACAGAUGACUCAUUCAUUGGCCUUGACCUCAAUGGGUUUGGCCACCCAUUGAGAGUGAAGUCACACCUCCAGCUUUCCAAUGCAUUCAUUGGCUCACACAUCCAACCUCAGGCAGGCAAGAAACAGACCCGGCUGGGCUUGCUUAGGGUCAGGGACAGGAAAGCACACAAAUGCUGCCCCAUGUCCUGAAGUAGUGGGUGGACAGCUCCCUCCUGCCCUAAGAGAAGUGGGCUCUAGUAUAUUGCUAGGGCUGCUGUAACAAAGCACGACUAGCCAAGUGGAUUUAAAAAAACAAACUUGUCAGGGUACCUGGGUGGCUCAGAUGUGAGCAUCUGACUUGAUUUCAGCUCAGGUCAUGAUCCCAGGGUCGUGGGAUUGAGCCCUGCAUGGGGUUCCACGCUGAGUAUGGAGCCUGCUUGGGAUUCUCUUUCUCUCUUCUUCUCCCCCUCUCCCUGUCUCGUGCUGGCUCUCUCUUAAAAUGAACAAACAAAAAAACAGAAACAAAAAAACAGAAACAAAUUUGUCUUACAGUUCUGGAGGCCAAAAGUCCAAGACCAAGGUACCAGAAAGGCUGGUGCCUUUUGAGGGCCAUGAGGGAGAAUCUGUUCCAAGCCCCUCUCCUGGUGGCUGGUGGCUUGUUAGAGGUCUUUGGUGUUCCUUGGCUUUCAGGGACAUCACCCUGAUGUCUGCCUUCACGUGGUGCUCUCCCUGUGCUCGUGUCUGUGUCCAAAUUUCCCUUUGUAGAGUGACACCAGUCAUAUUGGAUUAGGGCCUAGCCUAAUGACCUCAUUUUAACUUAAUGGCCUCUGUGAAGACUCUAUUUCCAAAUAAGGUCACGUUCUGGGUACUGGGGGUUAGGACUUCAGUAUACCUUUUGGGAGCGACACAAGUCAACCCGUUUAAAGCCUGUGCCCCCCAAAAAGAGCCCCCUGAAAAUAACACGUUCUUGGAUCGGAUGACUCAAUACCAUAAAGAUGUCCAUUUGGCUCAUGUAAAUAUGAGAUCCAUUUAACAUGCUCUUCAUGAAAAUACUGAAGAUGUUUUUUUUUUAAUUUUUUCCCUGGAGUUAAGCAAGUUGAUUC